AUGCACGCUGGCGGCGUGCCUCAUCCCUGCAAGUCGCGCGCACGGACGAGAAGCUUGCUUCCCUGAUGUUAGCGGCGGACGGGUGAGUAACACGUGGAUAACCUACCUAUAAGACUGGGAUAACUUCGGGAAACCGGAGCUAAUACCGGAUGAUAUUUUGAACCGCAUGGUUCAAAAGUGAAAGACGGUCUUGCUGUCACUUAUAGAUGGAUCCGCGCUGCAUUAGCUAGUUGGUAAGGUAACGGCUUACCAAGGCAACGAUGCAUAGCCGACCUGAGAGGGUGAUCGGCCACACUGGAACUGAGACACGGUCCAGACUCCUACGGGAGGCAGCAGUAGGGAAUCUUCCGCAAUGGGCGAAAGCCUGACGGAGCAACGCCGCGUGAGUGAUGAAGGUCUUCGGAUCGUAAAACUCUGUUAUUAGGGAAGAACAUAUGUGUAAGUAACUGUGCACAUCUUGACGGUACCUAAUCAGAAAGCCACGGCUAACUACGUG
rnacentral:rRNA from 1 species